CUCAACACGUGUUAUUUUCAUUUUCCUUCACCGUUUUGUCGCCCAAUGUUUAGAUUUCUGUUUCUGAACCUUUCUCCACCGCCUCAUCUCAACACCGUCUAUUGUACCAUCUGCUCCCCCACCCACUGUCUCCAUUUACGUCUCCUCCACCGAUUAGCGUAAGUGGGAGAAGAAGACGCCUCCACCGAUUCCACUCAAUAUCGGUAAGUGGGAGAAGAUGUCCACAGAUCAGCGAUGAAUGGAUCGACAACGCCUUCCAUCAUCUUCACCAGGUCGAUGGUUCUUCUGCUUCACGCAACCGUCCGGUUACCCGACUUCUCUCUCUCUCUCUCUCUCUCUCUCUCUCUCUCUCUCUCUCUCUCUCUCUCUCCUUUAAUUCUUUUCUUCUGCAAUUCCUUUCUGCAAUUCUGAUCCCGACUGUCCAGUUACCCACUUCUGUUGUUUCUCUUUAUUUUUAUCUAUUCCUUCGUUUUGGGGUACGAUUUCGUCGCCCUACAGAGGAUUGAUGCAAAAUAACUUCAAAUCACAGGAAUAGAUUUGGGGAAAGGUUUCAUCAGAGAUAACAACAGGUGAGAUUCGAUCUUUAGAAACACAACACAGCUACGAACGAAGAGAAAAUAUGGGAGAAGAACAACAACAUCAAGACGAGAAAGCGAACAAGGACUUAGGUCAGUUCUCAAAACCAACUAUACAGUGGUUAAAGUAAUUUCGCAGUUUAUACAUGUUUUGUUGUAACUUGGGAUGCCACUGUUCAACCAAUUUACUCUUUUUCCUGUAUGUUUCAUACAUUACUUUUAUCUGUGGUAAAUUACAUGAUGAAGUCAGCAACACAGGGCAGGGCGAGCUGGGCCACUGCCCAGGGCAUCAUUACGAAGAGGGGCAUAACGAUUUGUCUACCUCUUAUGGGCAUAUAAACUUUCGGCACAAAUUUUGCUCCAUAGACAUGAGGCAUCCGACACAGUGAAGCACAGAAGCAGCAAAAUGCAGCUGCCAAUCACGCUAAAAAAUCAGAAAACGUGGAGUCGAUCAUGCGAAAUAAUCACGCCUAAAAUCAGAAAUCGAUUGCCCCAGUAUUGCAAGCUAACGCUUAAACCGGACGAUUUUGCCCUUGAUAUGAAUUUGGUUGAGGACUUUAUCUAGAGCUGCCGACUGGAAUGUACUUUUGAUCCAAGUUGGACAAUUUUGCCCCUGAAGAUGGUAUUUGCAAUUUCAAGUGGAUUUAGGUGUUGCUUGUAAUCUUGCUGAGCUGUUAUGCUAGUAGGUGUUAUCUCAACUAUAUAAAUGCAAUUUCAAGUGCAUUUUGAUCAUCUAUUUGUACAAGUCAUUGCCAUUAAAAAUGUUAUUUUAUAAUGGUUCUUCAAUGUUUUUCCACUUCGCUUGGUUUUUAGUUUAAUAGGAUUGGAAUACUUUUAGAAAUUAGUCUUCGACUAAUAGUCUAAAUAUUGAUAUGGAAUUGAAAAACAAAUGUAUUUGGGCUAUUUUGUUUGGUUUUUAAUUUGGUUGUUUGUUAAUGGGAUUACUGUAUUCUGUUUAAGCUAAUAGGAUUAGGAUUUAGGGCCAUUUUUUUUUUUACUUUUUGAGUCAAGUUUAUAAAUUACUCUGUAUCAUCCAACUUCAAAUCUGUUAAUUUUUUUCGGUAACUUUGUUUUGAAAGGUCUAAAUAAAAAUUGACUCUAAAUAAAAACUUUAUUAGUAUUUUUGUUUAUAAAUUUAUGUUGCGUAUGAUUUAUGUUGCGUAUGGGUUUGGUCUAUAUAUAUAGGGGCAUUAUCGAGUCUCUUUCGCCCAGGGCACGAAAAACGAAUAGACCAUCCCUGAACACAUGUAUUUCAUUGUACAUAUAUUAACAUCAAUUUUUUAAACCAUUCAUUUGUUAGAAGAACUCCCAAAAGAUAAUGAAAAUUUGAUGAUUUACAUGGUCUGUUAUCUAGCAAGCCAGGUACCAUUUUUUGUUUUCUAUAUUUUUUUUUAGUUAUAUCUUCUACUAUGAAAUCAUAUUUGUAGGUAUUUUCACAUUCAUCCAUUAGUAUCACAUCUAUGUGCAUCAAUCUACUGUACAAGCCCAGGUUCUUUAGUUCUACAUCCUUUCAAGCAGAUAAAUUGCUUGCUAAUCUUUUGGAGCCACUAAUAUGUGAAGUCUUCAUCGAAUAUUCACAAAUUUCAGCCUGGAAAGAAUAAAUUAGAGUCCACUGAGGAUGUUGGAGCAAAGAAUAAAUUAGAGUACACUGAAAAAGAUCUGAAAGAAAAAGAAGAGGAACUUCAAGAUUUUGAAGCGCUUAAUGCCUUAAUCAAGCAUUGAUAAUCAAAUAAAGAUCAACCAAUGAUUAAUUACAGGGUGCUCACAAAGAGUUGAUUUCUAAGCUUUGUCUAAACGGAUUCUUGAUUUGAUGAUAUUUGGAUGGAAUUACUAGGGAAAAUUUAGCAAGUCGCCUCCAAAUAUCUGUCUGCCGACAUGGUCAUGACACAACAGUUAUAGUAGCUCUACAAUUUUGCAUGUAGCAGUUGGCUAAGAAACUAAUGAAUUUGCUAGAAGAUAAUAAAGGUACAAUAUGGUCAACUUUCUUUAUAUAUUUAUUUGGUUUUUAAAGCCUAAACCCUUUUGGCACAUAUCUGUCAAAAUUUGUAACGAAACUAUAUGUUACUUGCUCUUAAAGUUGGGGAUUAAUUGAGUCUAUUUUCUCUAAAAGUUUGGGAUCAAUUGAUUCUAUUUCACUAAUUGUUGAUUACAUUUCUGUAUCAAGUCGUUCAAUUUUAGCAUAUGACACAUGAUAAAUUAGUAUUUACAUUGGUGGUGAUUCAAGCAAGUUUUUGAUGUGCCUAAGAUUUGUAAAUCGUCCUUUUAAGUGUAAAAAUGACUAGAGUGCAAGUAAUCUCAAAAUCUAUGUUUUUGUGCUUAUUGCAAACUGUGGGGUUAGUUUUUGAGGUUAAGCCUAUUGCAUUUCAGAUUAACCACACGUAUUUUUUUUUAUUGAAUUAAACACCAACAAAUUUCAGUUUGUAGAAUUUGAGACCAUGUGUUAUAUAUUUAUUAAUAUGCUUUUUUGAAACUAAACAUAUUUAAAUUUGUUUUAAAGUUCAAACUUAGUUUUGGGGCACAAAAGAAGGACGACAACGUUUUGGUGCUUGAUUUGGUCCUUUUGUAUACCUGAUUUUUAUAACUUUUGUUGCAAAAAUUCAGUUGUAGUUUUGGUCAUUUUUCUGAAGUGUCGUAACAAUUUUGAUCCUUUGUACCAAAUAAAUGACUAUAGUUGUAUUUUUUUACUCUUAAAUAAAUAUUUGUGAUUUAAUCUAAUUUUGUGAAUUCAAAGUUAUACUAAAUAACAAAUUUCUAUAAAAAAUAAAAAUAAAAAAAAGGUAAAUAUAGUCAUUUUUCAUGGAAGGAGGACGAAAAUCAUUAAGGGAACUGAAAUAAGGAACAAUAUUGCAGAACCUGACCAAAAUCAGGCCUAAUUGACCAAAAAUGUAAUUUACACUUCGGGAUUAUAUGUUCAGAAGUCGAUAUUAAUAUCUUUAAGUGAUAUUAUUGAUAUAUUGUUGUUAACUAUAUUUUUUUAUUACUCUAAAGUUUGUAAUACUAUUUCAGGUUCAUACAUUGUUAACAGGAAACCCAUACGAAUUGUGUCAAAUAAAAACUUUGUAAACGUGUUUAUACAACAACAAAGACAAUUGCUUGAAUUAAUAUUGAAGUAGAUUUAGGAUGUUUGAAUGCAGAGGACGAACAAAACGAGAAUUACCAAAUUUCAUGGUAAGAAAAUCCAAAUCACAAUGGGACAAAUUAUAUUAUGUACUUUUGAAUACCAAUUGGUUCAUUUGGAAGUACUCAAUGAUCUGAAUUGAGAAUAUGAUAGAUGAAUUUUUAUUGAAUCCUAACACAAAAAAUAUAUUUUGAAGUGCAUCAGGUAUGAUAUUAGUCUUCAAUAUAAACAAACAAAAUGUUAAAAUGGUCAUUUACUACUUUUUUGUUUCUGUCAAGUUCAGGCCCUUGCAUCUGAAAGAGAACUUAUAUUCAUGUUGCUCAACCCAAAUGAUCCAACAAUGGAGCACAUAAAUUCCAAUAAUUUUCAUAGCACAUUUGCUGCUUUGAAUCCAUCCUUCUAGAGCAAUUGAUCAGAACAGAACAGAGAAAGCUAUAAUGUUUUUUGUGGAUUAAGAAGUGGAGUUGUUAAGACUAUUGAGACUCGCCAAAAAUUUGAUGAUAAUGAGAGUAUAUUUGUCUUUUUUCUUUUGGCAGUUGUAUACAUCUUAUUCUACUCUUUUUGGAUACAAUAUUUGAUCUCCUAUAAAAAGAUGUAAAAACAUGACAUUUAACCUAUUUUGCUUGCUUUGUGUGUUUGUAAUAUUAGAUGAAUAAGUGGAUUUAACUUGAUUUUGCUGUGUGGUCAAUAAAAACUAUUAUCUCACAUUCUUUA